GGCGAGCGAUGUACCUGCUUGGAGAGCGACUGCGCUCGAAUCAUUUCCUCGUCGUGGGCUUAGGGAGGGGGGAGUCGGGCGCUACGGCAAAACCAAGCGUCCUUUGAUUAGGGCUGUCCUGAGAUCCUUGCCGGGAUCGGUGGAUGCUUUGCUGAGAAGAGUUUGUCUGAGGAUCAAGUCAGCGGGCAGCUUUGCCUCCAAGCUUCCGGAGGGAUCGAUGAAGCUUUCUUUCUUCGGGCUUUCUUCAGGACUGGCAGAGAGGUUGUGAUGGAUCCCGGUUCAGAAGAAGUCGUUGGGAGUUCAGCUGAAAUCACCUUUGUUCCUGUAAAUCUUGAUCUGUUCUGCCCAGUUCCGAGAACCGAAAGUUUGGAGUGGAAGGGAUCUAACGAGAUUAGUUUAGCCCUUCCCACCGUCUUCUUUUCUUCCUCUCGGCCAAAUGGAUCUACCAUUGGAGAGCUCUUUCCGCCUAGAAAUGAUGCUGCCUUGGAGAUUUUUAUACACACACACACGCACACACACACACGGUAUACAUCUGCCUCUUGGCGGAGGGGAGUGGGGGAAGCAGCGACCUCUUGGUGGAAGGAAGACGCCUCUCUUUCUUACCGGUCCGACCAAGGAAAAUCACUGGUGGAUGCCUGCCUGUCCUUCUCAGAUCUGGAUAUAAAGCUUCGCAGUGAUGCUUUCCUUCUCUCGCCCCCUCUUGCCUGAGUUCUGGCGUUUUGCCAUACAUAAAUAAGCUUGGAGGCGCCUUUGGCAUCCCGUGUUUGUGGAAUAUAAUGGGUGGCUGCUUCCCGUCACUUUGUUCUCCGUGGAAGGCGGAGCGGAAGGAUUUCGUGCCAGAAGGAAAGCGAUAAUGGGGAUCCAGAAAGAUGCUGACAGAAAGACUGCUUCUGGAGAAAGGACCUCACUAGAUGGAAAAUACCUUUUUUAUAAAUUAUGAAAUUGAUGCUUUAUGAAUUGUAGCCCAUCGUGUGCAAGAUCUGAAAUAGAUACAUACUGUGACUGAAGAAAUUGGAGCCUAUCCCCUUUAGUCAUGUGGAAAGCCAAAAAUAUAUAAAUCCAUCAUGUAAACCUAUCUUCAUAUCUCUUCAACUUCACCGAAGUUUUGAUCUAAGCUUCAAAAACCAUAAAACUGUGAAUGGUACCUCGAAUUAGCUUUGGAAUAAAUUUAAAUAGAGAUCAUUCGAAAUUUACCUUCUCUGCAUAAGGUCAUCUUUAUGCAGAAAACGGAAGGACACUUUGAUUCUCAUAGUGGAUGAAAAAGCUGAUGGCAGAGAUGGCAAAAUUGACUGCUUUGAUUAAAGAAAAAAA